CUUGAAGAAACAGGGUAAGAGAUCCUGUAGUGUGCAGGUCCCUGGGAUGUUGAGCAGAGCUGGAGAAUCAUGAGGAAGGGAGCCGAGAGCAAGUGGCAGCUGCAUGGCACACCAGGUACCAUGGGACCUCGCCACAUUGCCUGGAAUCGCCUGACCCUCCCUUUACCCCACAAGGAGUCCCCAGCUUUUGGAGCUUCAGAGUUCUUGUCCAAGUCUCACACAAUCCCCUGAAGAGUGGUGAAAAUACUCUCCAAAGUCGCUGAACCCUGAGCACAGGACCACAUCCCAGGAACUGCCACAUAAGAAAGGGGGAAUCCAUGCAUGGACUCAAAGUACUGAAUCAGCAGCUGGAAAUACUAAAGUAAUUCAUGACCCAUAGAAGCACAAGUCAAAAAUGGUAGUCUGCAGGCCGGAUCUAACCCACAGAUGUGUUUUGUUUGGCCACACAAUCUAUCGAAAUUUAUUGCCACCAUUAAAAACUUAGAUUUCAUAUUUUUAAAAAAGUUCUAGCCUGCAUUCCUACCUGACAACAAUUCCCUGGAGCUGCUGCCUUCCCCUCCUCACAUUCCU
rnacentral:lncRNA from 1 species